UCUCUUUCUCCCUCACUCUCUCUCUUUCUCUCUCGGUCUCUCUACCGCCGGGGACGACCACCUCCGCCGUCGCCGCUGUAUACAUGGCGGUCUCACCGCCGUCGACCGAGAGAGAUUUGGAUAGAUCGUGAAAACGUGGUCGAAGGAGGUUAGUUUCGCUGUGAUCGCCGGACUGCCGCCGGAGCGCUGCCGGAAAGUCGCCAGACUGCCGUCGCCGUCGCUGGGCAGAAUUUCCGAAAAUCCGGCAGCUUCUUUACUCACGAGAUAAGCUUCACUGUUCAGUUAAUGGUGUAUUUAUAUAAGUCUUAAAUCUAAAGUUUGCAUUUUGUUGGAUUAUUUGAGAAG